UUUUUUUUGAAGCUGGCAUGCUUUUUUGUAAUUUUUUGGACAGUGUCCAAUUAUCGAAAAAAGGGUAUUAUACUGUCAUGGCGCCAGCAAUUGUAGUUAAAAAAAAUAAAAACCAAAUCGCAAUGUACACGCAAAUUCAACACGUCAACAACGUCCGCCCAGAAAUCGAGUCGGUUUCGUAUUAUAAUCGAGUGGGAAAUAAUAGAUUGCAAAACUCUUAAACUGGAAAUAAUACUUAUUGUAAUGGAAUAAAAUAUAAUGGAAUUCACAUAAAUACUAAUUUUAUUGAAAAUAAACGUAAAGAAAAAAAAUCAACCAAAAAAUAUCUGGGAGUUUAAAUAAAUUCAUCUGAUAAAAAUCGCAAGUCCGUAACUCGUUAACUCGUAAUACAACCAAUAAGCUGACCAAUGAUUCUAUUGCUCCCAAAACAGUACCCAGCUAUUUGAAUCCAUACUACAUUUGGUUUAGAAGUCUUUACUAAUACAAUUUAUAUUAUGUCAUGUAACAUCUCAUUACAUUCUAU